GGGAACAAUGUUCUUUUCAAGAUGCAUGUAUCAUGUAUGCUCAGUAAUUUUGAUCUAACAACUUAUAUUGUGCACUAAAGGCAAUACGAUACAUAGAGGAAAUGGAUAGUACACUCCGAUCUGAAGCCUGCCAAUUUUGUGCUUAUAAAUGCAUCCGUGUAUUUCUGAAUGUGAGAAUGCGAAGCAACUUUGGCCAGUUUUCUAAAUUUUACAAUCAAUGUGAUUCCCAGAUGCAGGUUUCUUUUUCUACAUGAAUAAUAAUUUAAUU